rnacentral:rRNA from 1 species
AUUGAACGCCGGCGGCAUGCCUUACACAUGCAAGUCGAACGGCAGCAUGAUCUAGCUUGCUAGAUUGAUGGCGAGUGGCGAACGGGUGAGUAAUACAUCGGAACGUGCCCUGUAGUGGGGGAUAACUAGUCGAAAGAUUAGCUAAUACCGCAUACGACCUGAGGGUGAAAGUGGGGGACCGCAAGGCCUCAUGCUAUAGGAGCGGCCGAUGUCUGAUUAGCUAGUUGGUGAGGUAAAGGCUCACCAAGGCGACGAUCAGUAGCUGGUCUGAGAGGACGAUCAGCCACACUGGGACUGAGACACGGCCCAGACUCCUACGGGAGGCAGCAGUGGGGAAUUUUGGACAAUGGGCGAAAGCCUGAUCCAGCAAUGCCGCGUGUGUGAAGAAGGCCUUCGGGUUGUAAAGCACUUUUGUCCGGAAAGAAAUGGCUCUGGUUAAUACCUGGGGUCGAUGACGGUACCGGAAGAAUAAGGACCGGCUAACUACGUG